ACUCUUUGGCCUCAAAGCGUCACGUCUGGAGGAAACCUGGCACCAUCCCUACCGCGAAGCAUGGUGGUGGCAGCAUCAUGCUGUGGGGAUGUUUUUCAGUGGCAGGGACUGGGAGACUAGUGAGGUUUGAGGGGAAAGUACAGAGAGCUCCUUGAUAACCUGCUCAGCGCCUCAGACUGGGGCAAAGGUUCACAUUCCAACAGGACAACAACUCUAAGCACACAGCCAAGACAACACAGGAGUGGCAUGGGAACAAGUCUCUGAAUGUCCUUGAGUGGCUGAGCCAGAGCUUGAACCUGAUGGAACAUCUCUGGAGAUAUCUCUUAAUAUCUGUGCUGCAACAUUCCCCAUCCAACCUGACAGAGCUUGAGAGGACCUGCAGAGAAGAAUGGCAGAAGCUCCCCAAAUACUGGUGUGCCAAACUUGUAGCGUCAUACGCAAGAAGACCCAAGGCUGUAAUCGCUGCCAAAGGUGCUUCAACAAAGUACUGACUAAAGGGCCAUCCAUUGGGAGAGGGGAGGCAGAAACCUCCUGUGCUGGGCAGGGCUGCAGCCAUGGAGUCAGCCAAUCAGAGUUAGCUUUUCCCCACAAAAGGGCUUCGGCGAAGGAGACAUUCUGACUAACAGGGAUAAACACAUUUGUGCACAAAACUCUGAAAAGUACAUUUUUGUGCAUAUGGAACAUUUCUGGGAUUUUUUGUGUUUAUUUCAGAUCAAGACAUGGGAUCAACACUACAUGUUGCGAUUGUUCUAAAACAAUUUACUUGUAACUAACCCUCCUUUUCCCCCUUUUGUUUGUGGCUAUACUAUAGAACUUCUUAUGUCAAGCCUUGAUGAAAUAUCUUCAAAAUAACACAUACCAUAUGUUUCAUAUUGUCACACAAUGUUAACCUAACUCAAAUAAAGAGCUUGCCAAAAGUUGGUACAGGAUUCUGAAUGUUAACUCGCAUAUAGUCCCUGGAAAUAUACAAAAUUACAUGAAUUGAAAAGACAAUAGAAGAUUUGGAACAAGUUUAUCUUUAUGUAUAAUCAUUAAACAUUUAUAAAAUUGGCAUAACAAGUUUGAUAAAAUCUAAACAACCCCUUCAAUACAAAUCGAAUGCUGAAACAACUGGAAUUUUCCAAUCCAUUCUCCACUCCAUAACAAGCACUCAUAGCUGUAAAGAAAAAAGAAAA